rnacentral:lncRNA from 1 species
UCAUCUGUUUCUUUUUUCUUUUUCUUUUUUUUGAGUUGGAGUUUUGCUCUUGUCACCCAGGCUGGAGUGCAAUGGCACGAUCUUGGCUCACUGCAACUUCCUCCUCUCGGGUUCAAGGGAUUCUCCUGCCUCAGCCUCCCAAGUAGCUGGGAUUACAGGUACCCACCACCAAUGCCCAGCUAACUUUUGUAUUUUUAGUAGAGACAGGGUUUCACCAUGUUGACCAGGCUGGUCUCCAACUCUUGGCCUCAUGUGAUCCACCCGCCUUGGCCUCCCAAAGUGCUGGGAUUACAGGUGUGAGCCACCGCGCCCUGCCAGGGUGGGGGGUCCUAGCUAGGAAUACAUAGAAAGACUCUGGAGAUUCUUUUAAUAGGAUAUGCGAAACUCAGUGUAUGUGUGUGUUUUCCUAGGGCAUGGGUGUAUAGCUUUUGUUACAAUCUCAAGUGUAUCUGUGACCUCAGCUCCCCGAAGUUAAGAACACAGGGGACUCUCUCUCGCCUUGAAUCCUCCAGAAUUCGCUCACCAGCCCUGUCUGGUGUGGAUAUGAAGGUCUUUUCUGGAGAGCCCUCUCUCCUAUUCUAGGCUCUGCUUAGCACCGUCAACGUUGCAUCCCUUAGUAGCCUGAAAUAAAGGGGAGAGAAGCAAAUGAAAAAGGAGACCCAUGGGGAAGUUAUUUGCACAGACGAAGGCAAGUGCUUCUAACGCUGCCAGCUCCUGAUGCCAGCACUCCUUUCUCAGCCUGCUCUCUGCUCAAAUUGAGUAUUAAAAAAAGAAAUAAAAGCCACAAAUGGGCUGAUGUGAGCAGAUGGUUUCGGUCAUAACCACAAAAACCUUCUUGUUUCCCGUUCCUGAUCGACACUGCUCUUGCAUAACGCCAAGUCCAUGACACUGAUGAAGAAAAUGCUGGCAUUAUCUGCCUGUUCCAGGGAUGAUGGACUGAAAGUUUGUGUCCCCCUUCUUCCCCCACCAAAGAUUCAUAUGUUGAAAUCCUGACCAUGAAGCUGAUGGUAUUGGGGGUUUGGGAAGCGAUUAGGUCUUGAAACUGGAGCCCUCAUAAAUGGGAUGAGUGCCCUCAUAAAAGAGACUCCAGAGAGCUUUGUAGACCUCCCUCUCUGCCAUGUGAAGAUGGAAAGAGAAGGCAGUCAUCUGCAACCCAGAAGAGGCCUUCGCCAGAGCCUGACCAGGCUGACACCCUGAUCUUGGAUGUCCAGCAUCUAUAACUGUCUUGUAUACCAGUGAAACUACUGAUGCCAGCUGGUCUAGAGGAAUCCAAGAGAAGCUGAUUCACCAAAGAAGGCUGUUUCCAGAUCAUGAUGAUUUCAUCCAUCCUACCUUGACCAAUCAAUGAUCCCAAUUUUCCAGUUACUUGCCCUCUACAAUCCCCUUAAAAGUCCCAGCCCAGAACUUCUCAGGGAGAUGGAUUUGAGGGUCCCUCCCAACUCCUUGCUUGGUUACCCUGUGAUCAUUAAACUCUUUCUCUGCUGCAAACCCUGUUGUCUUGGUGUAUUGGUUUGUUCCAGUGCAAUGGGCAUAUGAACUCGUUGGUCCUGUAACAAACUCUGCUGUUGUAGCAUGAAAGCUGCCAUAGAUAAUACAUAAAUGAACAUGUGUAGCUGUAUUC